UACGUAGGGUGCGAGCGUUUAAUCGGAAUUACUGGGCGUAAAGCGUGCGCAGGCGGUUCGCCAAGUCAGGUGUGAAAUCCCCGGGCUUAACCUGGGAAUUGCGCUUGAAACUAGCGGGCUGGAGUGCGGCAGAGGGGGAUGGAAUUCCGCGUGUAGCAGUGAAAUGCGUAGAUAUGCGGAGGAACACCGAUGGCGAAGGCAAUCCCCUGGGCCUGCACUGACGCUCAUGCACGAAAGCGUGGGGAGCAAACAGG
rnacentral:rRNA from 1 species